UCUUCCUCUCUUCCUCUUUUCACUUCUGUUUGAAUAACGGGGGGUUCAGGGGUCCCUCGGCCGGGUGCAGAGCUCAUGUCGAACAGGAAGUAGAUGUGCUGCAGCAGUGUGACCCGGCUCUCCUGGACCCAGCAUCUGAUCAGUGGGACUGUGAAGCCGGCAGGAUGCUGCUCCAGCUGGCGGACAACCGGCGUUACCAGAAGGUUCUGAUGCGUCCGCUGUUUGUUCUGGACGCCAUGAUGUCUCUGCUGGAGGGUCUCCAGUCUGCCCGGCAACUGAUGACCCUGCCCUGCCCCCCAAACCCUGGUACACACACUACACACA